UAGGGUUUGAUCCUGGCUCAGAUUGAACGCUGGCGGCAUGCCUUACACAUGCAAGUCGAACGGCAGCACGGGUGCUUGCACCUGGUGGCGAGUGGCGAACGGGUGAGUAAUACAUCGGAACGUACCUUAUCGUGGGGGAUAACGCAGCGAAAGUUGCGCUAAUACCGCAUACGCCCUGAGGGGGAAAGCGGGGGACCGUAAGGCCUCGCGCGAUUAGAGCGGCCGAUGUCUGAUUAGCUUGUUGGUGAGGUAAAAGCUCACCAAGGCGAUGAUCAGUAGCUGGUCUGAGAGGACGAUCAGCCACACUGGGACUGAGACACGGCCCAGACUCCUACGGGAGGCAGCAGUGGGGAAUUUUGGACAAUGGGGGCAACCCUGAUCCAGCAAUGCCGCGUGAGUGAAGAAGGCCUUCGGGUUGUAAAGCUCUUUUGUCAGGGAAGAAACAGCAGCUCUAACACAGUCUGCGAAUGACGGUACCUGAAGAAUAAGCACCGGCUAACUACGUGCCAGCAGCCGCGGUAAUUC
rnacentral:rRNA from 1 species